GCUACCAUGCAGUCGAACGGUAACAGGAAUCAGCUUGCUGAUUCGCUGACGAGUGGCGGACGGGUGAGUAAUGUCUGGGAAACUGCCUGAUGGAGGGGGAUAACUACUGGAAACGGUAGCUAAUACCGCAUAACGUCGCAAGACCAAAGAGGGGGACCUUCGGGCCUCUUGCCAUCAGAUGUGCCCAGAUGGGAUUAGCUAGUAGGUGGGGUAACGGCUCACCUAGGCGACGAUCCCCAGCUGGUCUGAGAGGAUGACCAGCCACACUGGAACUGAGACACGGUCCAGACUCCUACGGGAGGCAGCAGUGGGGAAUAUUGCACAAUGGGCGCAAGCCUGAUGCAGCCAUGCCGCGUGUAUGAAGAAGGCCUUCGGGUUGUAAAGUACUUUCAGCGGGGAGGAAGGGAGUAAAGUUAAUACCUUUGCUCAUUGACGUUACCCGCAGAAGAAGCACCGGCUAACUCCGUGCCAGCAGCCGCGGUAAUACGGAGGGUGCAAGCGUUAAUCGGAAUUACUGGGCGUAAAGCGCACGCAGGCGGUUUGUUAAGUCAGAUGUGAAAUCCCCGGGCUCAACCUGGGAACUGCAUCUGAUACUGGCAAGCUUGAGUCUCGUAGAGGGGGGUAGAAUUCCAGGUGUAGCGGUGAAAUGCGUAGAGAUCUGGAGGAAUACCGGUGGCGAAGGCGGCCCCCUGGACGAAGACUGACGCUCAGGUGCGAAAGCGUGGGGGGCAAACAGGAUUAGAUACCCUGGUAGUCCACGCCGUAAACGAUGUCGACUUGGAGGUUGUGCCCUUGAGGCGUGGCUUCCGGAGCUAACGCG
rnacentral:rRNA from 1 species